rnacentral:rRNA from 1 species
AACGAACGCUGGCGGCAGGCCUAAUACAUGCAAGUCGAACGCACCUUUCGGGGUGAGUGGCAGACGGGUGAGUAACGCGUGGGAACCUUCCUUGCAGUACGGAAUAACUCCGGGAAACCGGUGCUAAUACCGUAUACGUCCUUCGGGAGAAAGAUUUAUCGCUGCAAGAUGGGCCCGCGUCGGAUUAGCUAGUUGGUGAGGUAAUGGCUCACCAAGGCGACGCUCCGUAGCUGGUUUGAGAGGAUGAUCAGCCACACUGGGACUGAGACACGGCCCAGACUCCUACGGGAGGCAGCAGUGUGGAAUCUUAGACAAUGGGGGAAACCCUGAUCUAGCCAUGCCGCGUGAUCGAUGAAGGCCUUAGGGUUGUAAAGAUCUUUCAGGUGGGAAGAUAAUGACUGUACCACCAGAAGAAGCCCCGGCUAACUCCGUGCCAGCAGCCGCAGUAA